CUCAACUGUCAGCUGCUCAGAAGUUUGUGGUGGGAGCAAAAGGGGUUGAUUUCUGCCAUUGCUGGAGCCGUUCCCAUCACUGAGUGAGAGAGAGGAGCUGGGAGAGGAGCUGCAUCCUUCUCGCCUCUGCUUUCCUCUGUCGGGGUUAGCAGAAAGGUUGAUCUCCAGAUGCUGCAGUUAAGGGCUUCAAGGACACCAGCAGGCCUUUCCCUCCUGGGCGCCUUCAGCAUCGUGCCAGGUGCAGGAUAGAGAUCAUGAUGGAGGGCCUGAUCUCCACUUGGUCUAGCAGCCUUUCCUGAGCUGGGCCUGUGCCAAAGUAAAAGUGCCCAGGAGAAGGAGUGGGAAUCGGAAAAGAAUGAAGGCAAAGCAAGCAAUGGAGGAUCCUGAUAGCUGUGUCUCCUGAUCCAUACUACAGUCCUGUAAGUGUUGAAGAACCUCUUGAAUUUGUCUUCCCAGAAGAUGGAGAGGUAAGUCUGACUCCUACCACCUCCAGAGGCCAGACUGUCAGAGAGCUACAUAGGAAAAGACAGCAGUCCACAGAUAUCCAAGCAAAAAAGAGCUUCCCUUUCAACAUCUAACAAAGGAUCCCGUCCUGCUUCUGACGCACUGUUAUCAACACGAGUGCUGAGGUUGGCCCAGCCGGGUAAAUAUGCAUUGACAUAAUGACAAAUCUCUCCGGUGGCUGAGGGGAAUGGUGGGCCCUAGAGAAGGCAGGAAGAGGCUGAGGAGAGCAACCCCACAGCAGAUGCCCAUUUCCUUUCUGGCUAGGUUUGCAAAAGCCUCGUGUACACUCAAGGUCAAAAGGCUUUGGCAAAGAGGGGGCAUAGUUUCCCGGGAAACGACUUCACCCCAGAAGUGGAAUCCCACACCUUAGUUUACAGAGCUCCCUUCAAACUAGUUACUGAAGUUGCAGCCCAGGUUUGCACCCGUUCCAUCUCUUGAUUCCGAGUCUGGGUGCCCGACCUCCCCUCCUUCCCCUGGCUCUGCAUCCAGUGUGGGGUGCAAAUGUCACAUUCAGUCCUGGCAGGGUGCAAGAAACAAGGCUGGGCCCCACAGUGAACCAGUCUGUAGGGCCAAGCGAGGGGGCAGAGGGUGCGCUAGUGAAAGCGAUCCCCACCCUCUCUUGGCCUUCUGCAGGGACACCUCGGCAUCCACUCACCCCCCUCAGGUGACAGUGUGGGAUUAGCCGGUCGCCAUUUGGGGCCGAGUAGGAAUUUUCCCCAUCCACCCGGAUUGGCUUGGAGGUGGCUGGUUCUUUGCCCACUCUGCACUGUUGCACUGGAAGGGAUUUCUGAUCUGGCGGAUGUUAGGAGUGGUGCCGCUAAAUAGUGUAGCCCCUUGGUCACCAUGGCAGGUCCGGGGGGGGGGAUGCAGUGCCCCACCCCAUUGGUGGCAGGUGCGAUUUCCCCCAGCUGCAUGGCAGUUCUCUGCUAAAAUGAGUCAAUAAAGUGAUGGCCGUAGUUUCAACCCA